CCUACGGGUGGCAGCAGUGGGGAAUAUUGCACAAUGGGGGAAACCCUGAUGCAGCGACGCCGCGUGAGUGAAGAAGUAAUUCGUUAUGUAAAGCUCUAUCAGCAGGGAAGAAAAUGACGGUACCUGAGUAGGAAGCCCCGGCUAACUACGUGCCAGCAGCCGCGGUAAUACGUAGGGGGCAAGCGUUAUCCGGAAUUACUGGGGGUAAAGGGAGCGUAGGCGGUUGUGUAAGUCUGGAGGGAAAGGCUGGGGCCCAAACCCCGGGCUGCUCUGGAAACUGUGCGGCUGGAGUGCAGGAGAGGUAAGUGGAAUUCCUAGUGUAGCGGUGAAAGGCGUAGAUAUUAGGAGGAACACCAGUUGCGAAGGCGGCUUACUGGACUGUAACUGACGCUGAGGCACGAAAGCGUGGGGAGCAAACAGGAUUAGAUACCCGAGUAGUC
rnacentral:rRNA from 1 species